rnacentral:lncRNA from 1 species
UCAUGGACUGUGACAGUGUGAAGUCAGUUCUAUAGAUGCCAGGAAACUAUAACAGGUUUCAUAGUGGGUUCAUGGUGCUUUAGAGGGAACCUUUAAUUCUGAGAGGAAGUAGCAGAUAGAGAUCUUCCUGAAGCCUUGUCAGAGCCUGAGGACACAUAGUCUUUUAGUCCUAGAUAAAUCUUCUUAGCCUUUGUUAACAAGCCUGUUAACAAAGCUCUGAGUAUUUGCAUGGGUAUUUCCCAGUUCCCAGAAGUGAGAUGGGAGUGGCUAAAGAGGCACCAGUCUUUUGGAUUUUGUAAACUGGAGGUGCCAAGGAGAGUGGCUUGGGGCCACACAGGCCACUCCAGGUCCAUCUGGGAUACAGACUCUACAUUGGUGCCCAGGAAUAUCAUUCCUCCUCCUUGUGGUUGUCUCUGAAGCAGAUUUCUGGGCAGUUGGUGUGUCCCUACAGUUUGACAGACCAGCUUCCCUCCACCCCCCACUCCCCAUCCUUGGGAACAUUAAAUGUAAAAGAAACUGUGCAAGCAUCACAGUUGUGUGCUCCCUACCCCCCAUUUUAAAGGGCUUGUUUUCCACCCGAAAGCAUGUUGUAUAAGCUUAAUUUCUCUCACUCAGAUAAGCUUAAUUUCCCUAACUCUUGAUGUGCCUACAGAGAAUUGCCUAAUUCUUCUUUUGCAAUGUGUGUCUGCAGCUGGGAAGCCUGCUUUUUUUCUUCAGGCCUCUUGACAGAAAUGCAAACAGUUUGCCUUGUGUUGCAAACUACUGCUUUAUCAGCAGAAGGGCCUGGGACCUUACUGUGCUUUCAUGGGGUGGACUUUUAUCUGCAGUGGGCGGCUGCUUUCUUGGCCUUCUGUCAUGUGAGAUUACCUCCCUGCCAGACCCCAGUCUCAAUAGCUUGUGCUCAAGGUACAUGGAUCCAGUGAUUGGAACUGAGUCCUCUGGGCAUCUCUGCUCAGAACUUUCACAUAAUGCAAGACUUUUCCAUACCUUAUUUUAUGAAAAGAAUGUUUCUACAAAAUCAAGGCUCACUCCUCCUAAGUGGCAUGUCCAUUCACAGGCAAAGUAAAGGAGGGUGCCUCCAGCAGUUGGCCAGGCCUGUUUUCUCUUAGCAGAUGCCUGGUAUGUACCAUCUAGCCUGAAGGAAGAACACUAUUCUAUGGCUGCCAAAACCACAACAAAUGACAGCUCUCCUUCUGUCAUCUCUGGGCCCCAAUGCUGGGCCAGUAAUUCAUUUUUCUACCAUAAAAGGGCAAUGAGAUUUUUCUGUAGUAACCCUGCCUGCUGCACCAUGAGGAGAAAGCAGAGACAGACAAGGAGUGCUACUGUGGUCAGUCCUGGUCUUGCUUAGUUCAGACGCCAGCAUGACAGUAGAGGCAGGAGGAGGACUCAUCUGCUUAUUCUCUGCCUGCAAUAAGACUUGAACUCUGCCCAGCUGUGUAUUGUUGACAUUUGGUUCUCAUGGCUUGUAAUUGUAGAUACCCAGUUUUUAAAAGAGACCUGGGAGAUCCUAUAUGCCAGAUACCCUCAGUGCUCUUAGCCAGUAUAAAUGAAGGACUUAAUUGGUGGGUUUCUGUUCAUCACUUCAAGUCUUUGGAAAGUGUAAAAUCUGUGUAAAGUGUUAUCCAUUAAAACCCUAGGAUCUUGUCAGUGAUAAUAAAUAGUUGUUAGAAUCAAUAUACAAGUAGUUCUAAAAAGUAAAUGCUCAUGCCAGAUUUGGUAUGGCACUUCUGCAGUCUUAGCACUUUAGGUCAAGGCAAAGACUAUCAAGGAGUUUUAGGAACCUUGGCUACAUGAAGCCCUGGCUCAAAAAGAAAAGAAAAAUCAAAAGAGAAUGCAAGCACUUAGCUUUUUUGAUACUAUUAUAAUACUUUGAAUGGGGAUGGAAAGUUGGCUUAGUGCAACUUAGAGCACAUGGUGCUCUUGCAGAGAACCUAAGUUCCGUUCCCAACACCCAAGUCAGGCAGCUCACAAACAUCUCCAGCUGUAGCUCCAGAGGAAUCCAGUACCUUUAAUAGAGUACUUUUGAAAUAGUUGUUGUGAAGUUUCUGCUCUAUGCUCCCCAGCCAGAAGACUUAAGGUAAGCUAAGAAAGUGUCAAAAAGGGCUGGUGAGAUGCCUCAGCAGGUAAGAGCACCCGAUUGCUCUUCCGAAGGUCCGGAGUUCAAAUCCCAGCAACCACAUGGUGGCUCACAACCAUCUGUAACGAGAUCUGACUCCCCUUUCUGGAGUGUCUAAAGACAGCUACAGUGUACUUACAUAUAGUAAAUAAUAAAUAAAUCUUUAAAAAAAAUGUAGCUUUCAUAAGACUGUG